rnacentral:rRNA from 1 species
GGGGGAUGGGGUCGCGGCCCAUCAGGUAGACGGCGGGGCAACGGCCCACCGUGCCUGCGAUGGGUAGCCGGGUUGAGAGACCGACCGGCCACAUUGGGACUGAGAUACGGCCCAGACUCCUACGGGAGGCAGCAGUGGGGAAUUUUGCGCAAUGGGGGGAACCCUGACGCAGCAACGCCGCGUGCGGGACGAAGGCCUUCGGGUUGUAAACCGCUUUCAGCAGGGAAGAAGUUGACGGUACCUGCAGAAGAAGCCCCGGCUAACUACGUGCCAGCAGCCGCGGUAAUACGUAGGGGGCGAGCGUUAUCCGGAUUCAUUGGGCGUAAAGCGCGCGUAGGCGGCCCGUCAAGCGGAACCUCUAACCCGAGGGCUCAACCCCCGGCCGGGUUCCGAACUGGCAGGCUCGAGUUUGGUAGAGGAAGAUGGAAUUCCCGGUGUAGCGGUGGAAUGCGCAGAUAUCGGGAAGAACACCGAUGGCGAAGGCAGUCUUCUGGGCCGAAACUGACGCUGAGGCGCGAAAGCUGGGGGAGCGAACAGGAUUAGAUACCCUGGUAGUCCCAGCCGUAAACGAUGGGUGCUAGGUGUGGGGGGAUCAUCCCUCCGUGCCGCAG